rnacentral:rRNA from 1 species
GUUAGGAAUAUUGGACAAUGGGCGCAAGUCUGAUCCAGCCAUGCCGCGUGAGUGAUGAAGGCCUUCGGGUUGUAAAGCUCUUUAGCCGAUGAUUAUAAUGACUGUAGUCGGAAAAUAAGCCCCGGCUAACUUCGUGCCAGCAGCCGCGGUAAUACGAAGGGGGCGAGCGUUAUUCGGAAUCACUGGGCGUAAAGCGUGCGUAGGCGGCUUUGCAAGUUGGGAGUGAAAGCCCAGGGCUCAACCCUGGAAUUGCUCUCAAAACUGCAAGGCUCGAAUUCGGGAGAGGAUAGCGGAAUUGUCAGUGUAGCAGUGAAAUGCGUAGAUAUUGACAGGAACACCAGUGGCGUAAGCGGCUAUCUGGACCGAUAUUGACGCUGAGGCACGAAAGCGUGGGGAUCAAACAGGAUUAGAAACCCUUGUAGUCC